rnacentral:tRNA from 1 species
GUCCAUGGUAGCCUAGUGGUCAUGGCAUCUGCCCGGUCGUGGGUUCGAUUCCCAUCCCUCGACA